GCCAUACCAUGCUGAAAAUACCGAUUCUCAUCCGAAGUUAAACAUCAUCGGGCCUAGUCAGUACUUGGGAGGGUGACCACCUGGGAACAAUGCGUGCCGUUG